CGUAAAAAAUGGUUUAAGAGAGAAUAUCAGGUGCCAGCUCCUCAUUCAGACAGCUUUAGUCAGAAGUAGUGUGGCCUGAGCGUAGGUUGUUGUUUCUACCUGACUCAUUGACUUAUUUAAUAACUUUAUCAGGUAUGCAUUUUAUCCAUUGCCGAAGACACAAUACAAAGAUGCCAAGAUUGAGAACCUGAAAGAGGGUUAUGCUGCUGAGAACCUGAAAUAAAGUCGUUCCGCUGUGACAGUGCACAAGGAUGCUCCAGCAGACCUCCCAGUGAGAAAUGAAAGCAUCAAGCCCACUUUAAAAAGCUGGCAAGACCUCUUAGGGAGUUCCAGGUGGAUGGGAAGAGGAGCCCAAAUGAGUUCAUCACCAGAAGCAGGCUUCAGAUGAGAAGCUACUGCGGUAAGCCUGUCUCUGCUUCUCUGCUAGUUUUAGAAGUGGCAUUCUUACCAUCCUUGGAACAGUACUCGGUCAGGUAAGUGGAGGAAGCUGCAUACAGCAAACAACAGCUUUAGUUGACCUUGCAGAAGAAGAGUACUGCUGGUCUCCCAUCCCUUCCCUUUGUGUCUAAGACUCUGAAAUUAAAGGCUGAUAGAGUGUGUGGCUUGUUGGAUGCAUGGAGAAAUUCAUCUUGUUUAGCCCACCUGCCACUGGGAAACAUAAAACCAGGUAUCAGAAGAAAAAAAAUA
rnacentral:lncRNA from 1 species